ensembl:lncRNA
CCAGCCAGCUCCAGGAACAGAAGCAUGAAUGAGCAGUUGUGGGUACCUGUCCAGAAGAGAAUAAGAAGUACAUAUCCUGGAAGACUUUGUGUUCAGAGAGGAGAUAUAAGCCCUGGCAAGGUCACCUGAUGUUCCUUUUUUUAGCUCUCCCUUGCCUCUGCUGCUUGACCCGACUGCGCAUCUCACCUCAGUGGUGCUGUUACUGAAAGAUUCCUGAGAAUUUAUCGAGAAGAAAAAACAGUUCAGCUUUAGGUAUGGAUUGGACACUGAAGACAAUACGAUUUUUCUUGAUCAUCAGAACCUUUGGAAUUCAGGUUUUCAGGUUUGUCCAUUAAGCCAAUUUAUACUGCAUAGGAGGAAAGUAGUCACUCUUAACCUUGAACUAUAAGAAAUUUAACUGAGCCAUAAAUUGUGGAAUAAUUUGGAGCAGAAAAUGUGUGCUUGUUCCUCAAGAGACUGAUUUUUAAUUAGUCACUUUCAAAAAUCCUUAAUUCAGAUGCCAUGAAUACCAAAUAACCUUACUUGGCCUCACUUCUUUUAUUUAUGCACCUUAUUCUGUAGUGAAUUCAUCCAAUGAUGGCUUCAGGCACAGAAAAUUUUAGGUAGUUAGUAAGAGCA